rnacentral:misc_RNA from 1 species
AUUUGAAGAUACUUGAAGACUUGAAUGAAUUCACACCUCCAAUAAAAAUCUUAUCAAGGAGGUGAAAGAUUAAUGCACCAAUUGCAAGAACAAUUCAUCAAGAGGUGCAGAAUUUGGCAAUUUGAAAUUUUUUUUUAGUUUAGUGUUUCAUGCAUCAUGCAAUCACAUUAAGUUAUUAAAAAACACAUCAUUUCGUCUUACUAAAUUAUGUUUCUAUUGCUGGAUAGGCCUAA